rnacentral:lncRNA from 1 species
AUGGAUCAGAGAGCAGAGGUUAAUAUAGGUACAUCACUGUUGGUCAGCUUGUUAUACAGUCACAAGGCCUCUGCUAUCAGUGUCAUUGUUGGCUGGGGCUUUAGGGCAUUAGAGGGGGAGACCAAGGAUAAUCUGAGAAGCAGAGGAAGGAUCAUAAAGCAUUACUACUUGUUUGCUGACAACUAACACUGGGAGAUCCUCUGACCCUACCAGAUAGCAUGGCAGCUUGAGAUGGAAUUGCCAGGCUAGGGACAGAGUGGGCACCUUUGAAGGAAACAACAAAGAAGUUCUCCUAGGGAAUUCUUCAAUUAUAGUCAUAAAAUUUAAAGUUGAAAGUGAACUGAGAGAUCACCUAAUUUAACCUCCCUCCAUUGAUAAGAAAACUUUGAAAAAAUUUAUGAAAAAGGAAAGGUAACUUGCUCAUGGUCACAAAACUAAUAAGUAAAUGAGCUAGGAUUCAAACUCAGGCCCUUUUACUGCAAUGUCAAUACCAUUUCUGCUAUACCACACUAAUUCCAUCUUAGUGCUUUAUGGGAACCUACUUUGAUAUAACUUGUCCCAAGUCAGGGGAUUGAGAUAAAUGGUUAACUUAAAAGUUCUCAGUUAACCUGCUUUAGCCCUGGGGGAAUUGUUUGCCAAAUAGCAGAAAUGGGGCUUUCUAAAGAAUAAAAAAUACCACAAUUCACUUAAAGUAAUGGUUUGGGGUUUAAACUUUACCUGCUUGUUUCAGGAAUAGAUUCUUAGGGACUAGAUUGCCUGGUUGUCGUCCUUUCCUAAGUCUAGAAAUGUCUUCAGUUCAAAUUCUUUCCUCUGAGAAGGGCAAAAAUUUUCACUGUCAUUAAGCAACAUAGAAUUUUUUUUAAGACACAAGUCCCUAUCUUGAACAAACUGGAAAUGAGUAGCAGUAGCUAUUCAUGGACCUAAUUCCACUGCUAAUUACCUGGAAGCUUGAAUUUGCUUUAUUUUUUUUUUAACCUGGGUUGGUUUGCCCCCUCUGCAGAAGUCUGGUGAUCUUUCUUUCCCCAGAGCUCCCUGUGAGAUUUUGCUGUAAUUCUACUGUAAUUCUAUUGAGACUUUUAUGAGCAAGCUGUACCAGGUCUUAAUUUUGAUUACAAUAAGGAAGCCUAGAACUACUGAAAAGCAGUCUCCAGUAGACCAGCAGCAUGAACAUUUUAACCACGUACUCCUAACAUACUAGUGAUUCUGAAAAAUGAGCAAAAGGUAGAGUGAAUCUUCCACAUGGAAUUUCUAGGGCAUGGAUAUAAUGUCAGGAAUGAUUCCACAGGGUUUAUUCCAUGCCUUUUGAUGGUUCGAGUGCAAGCCACAUCUACCUUCCGAUUUGUUUUUUGGUGUCAGAGAAGAUGUAGAAGUUCACCUAGCUAGGAAUUUAGCCCAGUGAAAAGUGAGAAAAAUUCAAAUGAUAGAAUGAUGCUUAUGGACAAUGUCAGGAGCUAUUUCUGAGGAAUAAAGUCCUACAAAGAAUUUUAGUAUCUGGGUAUUGCAAAUUAGUGAGGAGAUCAUCCCCCGUCUUGCUCCUCACCAUACCAAGCAGUUGCUCCACAAUAUAUAACUCGAGGACAACUGGGGGUCCUGCAAGACAAUGAUAUUACCUGCCAUCCAGAGUAGC